rnacentral:rRNA from 1 species
UACGAAGGGGGCUAGCGUUGUUUGGAAUCACUGGGCGUAAAGCGCACGUAGGCGGUCUGUUAUGUCGGAUGUGAAAGCCCUUGGCUUAACUGAGGAAGUGCAUCCGAAACUGGCAGGCUAGAGUACUAAAGAGGGUCGCGGAAUUCCCGGUGUAGAGGUGAAAUUCGUAGAUAUCGGGAGGAACACCGGUGGCGAAGGCGGCGACCUGGGUAGAUACUGACGCUGAGGUGCGAAAGCGUGGGGAGCAAACAGG